rnacentral:rRNA from 1 species
UUACGAGCCUAGCUUAAAACUCAAAGGACUUGACGGUGUCCCACCCCACUAGAGGAGCCUGUCCUAGAAUCGAUGCUCCCCGCUAUACCUCACCACUUCUUGCUUUAUCAGCUAGUAUACUUCCGUCGCAAGCUCACCAUAUGAGUGUGCACAGUGGGCACAAUGAUACUUACACCAGCACGUCAGGUCAAGGUGCAGCUUAAGAAGUGGGCUGAGAUGGGCUACAAUUUCUAACUUAGAAUAAACGAAAUACUGAAUGAAACCAGGUCAUGAAGGUGGAUCUAGUAGUAAAAAGAAAAUAGAGUGUUCUUUUUAAUACGGGCACUGAGACACGUACAAACCGCCCGUCACCCUCUUCAACAAUACUAAAAAGUCCCUAACACGUUUUUUUACUCAAGAGGAGGCAAGUCGUAACAAGGUAAGUGUACCGGAAGGUGCGCUUGGAUCAG